rnacentral:lncRNA from 1 species
GGUUUCCGCCCAGUCUCUGGGGACGCGGUGGCGGGGUCUGAAUCGCCUGGCUUCCAGGGAGUUUUGGGCGGGUCCCCGCACGGGAGCGUGGCAGGCGCUGGACUCGACAGCAGAUGUGGAACUGGAGAGCUUGGCGCGCCCUCAUACUUUGUCACACACCUACGCCACCAGACUGGGGUCGGGCCCCUCCGCGUUCUGCUCUGGAGGGCCUGGGUCUGGGCCCAGCAUAGCGCUUUUAGAAUCUCCUCAGCUGAAUCUGACGCUCAGCCGUAGGUGAAGCUUAGCCCGCUGUUUCAGGCCCCGCCGAUCUGGAAGGAGUGUCAGAGCUGGAGCGCGCGUGGCCUCAUCGGUGUUGGGGUCACCCCGGGGUUGCCAGGGCUCAUGGAGGGUCGUAGUCUGGAUUUUGUCACCCCCACGUCCCCGCCCCGCAGCAAGUCUGGGGUUGGAGAACUCACGCGGUCUUCGUAAGCUACAUGCCAGUUGACCCUCGAGGAGGGAUGCUCCCUCCCCUUAAGCGUCCACGCUGGAGAAGGAAGUACGAGUACAUCUGGUUGAAAGAGAAAAGGCAGAGAGAAAAGCAGACUUUUUGGAGUUGUUGUUCUCAGGCACUAACAGAUUCAUCCCUUAUAUGCAUAUGAAUGGACAAUAAGAUUUCUUGGAUAUUUUCAUGGCAAAGGUGAGGAGAAAUUUUUAUUGCUUUUUGAAGAAACAUGAUUUUUAUUACCUUGGGUUAUUCCAGGAGAUAAUUGAUAAAUGUUGAGUAGUUUGUUGGUCUUCUUCUUAAAGGAGGAUCAAGAGAAGCAGUACAGCAUGGCAGACUAGAAGCAUUUCUGUUUUUUUGUUUUGUUUUGUUUGAGAUGAAGUCUCGCUCUGUUGCCGAGGCUGGAGUGCAGUGGAGUGAUCUCUGCUCACUGCAAGCUCCGCCUCCUGGGUUCAAGUGAUUCUCCUGCCUCAGCCUCCAAAGUAUCUGGGAUUACAGGCAUGUGCCACCACGCCCGGCUAAUUUUUACAUUUCUAGUAGAGACGGGGUUUCACCAUGUUAGCCAGGCUGGUCUCAAACUCCUGACCUUAAAUGAUCCACCCACCUCGGCCUCCCAAAGUGCUGGGAUUACAGGCAUGAGCCACCGCACCUGGCUGAAGGGUCUUCAGUAUCAUCUCUGUGAUAGAUAAAUUGUUUAGUGGGUUAUCUACAUUGGCCAUUGACAUCUAGAAUUAGGGUAUGAGUUGGGUUUAGAAGAAGGAAAUGAGGCUGGUCUCCAAUAGACAGUGAUUCAUAUGAUAAGCAGAAAGUGUUACAGAAGUCUGGUAGAGGAGGAUGGGAGACAGAUUAUUGUCAAGGAGAUAGUAAAAGUUUAUUUUGAAAUCCUUAGACUAUGCCGGGCUCAGUGGGUCACACCUGUAAUCCCAGCACUUUGGGAGGCCGAGGCGGGCGGAUCACCUGAGGUCAGGAGUUCGAGACCAGCCUGACCAACAUGAAGAAACUCGGUCUUUAUUAAAAAUACAAAAUUAGCCAGGCGUGGUGGUGCAUGCCUGUAAUCCCAGCUACUUGGGAGGCUGAGGCAGGAGAAUCACUUGAAUCUGGGAGGCGGAGGUUGUGGUGAGCCAAGAUCGCGCCAUUGCACUCCUGCCUGGGCAAUAAGGGCGAAACUCCAUCUCAAAAAAAAGAAAGAAAUCCUUAGACUAUAAGUUUGUUAUAUAAUCUGCAUGUAAAACAAGGUCCUAUAUGACUCAAAUAAUGUGCAGGGUUCCCUUUAAAAAGUUCAGCAACUACUUUCCUUUUUUUUUUUUUGAGAUGGAGUCUCACUCUGUCACCCAGGCUGGAGUGGGUUGGUGCAAUCUUGGCUCACUGAAACCUCUGCCUCCUGGGCUCAAGCCAUCUUCUCACCUCAGCAUCCUCGGUAAUUUAGUUGGGACUACUGGCGUGCGCCACCAUGCCCGGCUAAUUUUCCUGUAUUUUGUGGAGAGACGGGGUUUCACCAUGUUGCCCAGGCUUGUCUCAAACUCCUGGGCUCAAGUGAUCCUCCUGCCUUGAUCUCCCAAAGUGCUAGGAUUACAGGCGUGAGCCACCACACCUGGCCAAUGACUUUCAAAUUUGUUUAAAGUAAUCCCAAUCUUUAUUUGCCUCUCUCAAGUAAUUAAUGAUAACACUUUCUUUAAAAAAAAAAUGCUGUCACUAGGCUGGGUGCGGUGGCUCACAUCUGUAAUCCCAGCACUUUGGGAAGCCGAGGCGGGUGGAUCACCUGAGGUCAGGAGUUCGAGACCAGCCUGACCAACACGGUGAAACCCUGUCUCUACUAAAUACAAAAAUUAGCCAGGUAUGGUGGUGGGCACCUGUAAUUCCAGCUACUUAGGAGGCUGAGGAAGGAGAAUCGCUUGAACCCCGGGAGGUGGAGGUUGCAUUGAGCCGAGAUGGCACCAUUGCACUCCAGCCUGGGCAACAAGAGCAAAACUGUCUCAAAAAAAAAAAAAAAAAAAAAAAAAAAACAGACCGGGCAUGGUGGCUCACACCUGUAAUCCCAGCACUUUGGGAGGCAGAGGCAGGUGGAUCACCUGAAGUCAGGAGUUUGAGACCAGCCUGGCCAACAUGGCAAAACCCCACCUCUACUAAAAAUACAAAAAAAUUAGCUGGGCACGGUGGCAGGUGCCUGUAAUCUCAUCUACUAGGGAAGCUGAAGCAGGGGAAUCGCUUGAACCUGGGAGACGGAGGUUGCAGUGAGCUGAGGUUGUGCCAUUGCACUCCAGCCUGGGAGACAGAGCAAGACUCCAUCUCAAAAAAAAAAAAAAAAAAAAGUCACUAAUCUCUAAGAUCUCUGAAUAACUCUCUCAGAAUUAGAGUCCAUACAGCUCUGAUCUUUUCUUCUUUUAUGCUGCUUGUUUUUCCAAGGCUUUUAGUGAUGCAAACUUAUCAUUACUUUAACAAUUCCAGCUUUCCUUCUAUGUCUUGGUUUUACACGACAAGAAGCCCAGAAACUGAACUUGCUUACUCAGCUCCCGAGGUUGAAGGUGGCAAGAAGGUGGUAAGAAUCCUAGACAGGCUAGGCCUGGUGGCUCACGCCUAUAAUCCUAACAAUUUGGGAGGCCAAGGCAGGAGGAUCGCUUGAGGCCAGGAGUUCGAGACUAGCCUGGGGAACAUAGUGAGACCCUGUCUCUACAAAAAAAAAAAAGAAAAAAUUAGCUGGGUGUGGUAGUGCACACCUGUGGUCCCAGCUACUCAGGAGGCCAAGUUGGGAGGAUUGCUUGAGCCCAGGAGGUGGAGGCUACAGUGAGCAAUGAUGGCACCACACUCCAACCUGGGCGACACAGUGAGACUCUGUCUCAAAACAAAACAAAACAAAACAAAACAAAACAAAGAAGAUUUGGUAGAAUUCUCCUGUGGGAGUUUGGAGAAAGAAGUAGAACAUUAUUAUUGUUUUUUUCCUGUCAUAUUUCUAAUGGAAACAGGAUGAUUACAAGAGUGCAGGGGAAAGGUUGGGGAAAAGAAAUGUGACUUCUUUCACUUUUACAUUAUUGAAAUUGUUAUUUAAAUUGUAUUCUAUAACCAUAAUUAAAUCUUCAUAAACUUUUCACUUAAUGAUCUUAGCAUUCAUUGAUGGUCUUUGCCUGAAUCUUAUUUCAAAAGGCAAGGCAUUUCAAAAAUGCUGAUUUUUAAAAUUUCUAUCAUUUCUUAUACACUUAUUAGCUCACAUUUUUCUGUAAUGAGUUUACCCUUAUCAAGUGGGACUCUUUGGUUAGCUGCUCCUCUAAGCUAAUUUUUCUUGUAUUCUCAAAGCAGUUUCUCCAUACUAUCAUUUCAAUACCUCUUGCUGUUCUAGUUUGCUGUUUUGAGUAUGUCCUUGUCUUACUUAUGUGAUUGACUUUUUUUUUGAGAUGGAGUUUCUCUCUCGUCGCCCAGGCUGGAGUGCAAUGGCACCAUCUCUGCUCACUGCAACCUCCGCCUCCCAAGUUCAAGCAAUUCUCCUACCUCAGCUUCCCGAAUAACUGGGAUUACAGGCACCUGCCACCACACCCAGAUAAUUUUUGUAUUUUUAGUAGAGACGGGGUUUCACCAUGCUGGUCAGGCUGGUCUUGAACUCCUGACCUCAGAGGAUCCACCCGCCUUGGCCCCACAAAGUGCUGGGAUUCCAGGCGUGAGCCACAGUGCCUGGCCAUGACUAACUCAUUCCAUUGAGGGUCUUUUCUCCUGAAGUUUUGUGCUAUGACUUGAUAUUUCAAAAGAAGGGAAAUAGAUGUCUCAGUAUUAAAUUUCAAACGGGAAGUUUAACCUGUAUAUUGGCUUAUUUAGGGUAAGAGUGAAGCUAUCCUGGACAAGAACUUUGACAGGACAAUACUAUUCACUCUGAAGGACCAAAAAAUGAGCAGAAAAUUUGGGAUAAAUGUCAACAAGAUUUGAACCCUAAAGAAAAGCAAGCAUCGAGUUAGACAGACGUCCAUAUUCAUUCAACUGGGAAAAUAAAACUGCAGUCCCAACAUCAGAAUUUCCUUGGUCAGUUGGUUAUUGCGGGACAGCAUUCUUCUGCAUGACAGUAUUGUCUCCUUACCAGCCACAGAGGAGGCUGUGAGAGAGAGGAUUUGGGAAAUUGGUGCAAAUGAGAAAUCUUGGAAAUCUAGAACUAAAGCCUUUCAGCAGGAAAUCCAGAUGCUCACUAAGUGACUAGAGCAGCUGCAUCAUCUUUAAGAAGAAGGUGCUCAAGAAUCAUCCCAAGCUGAAGAAAAAAGUAUUGGGAACAAAAAAGACCCUUGAAAUGUCUAGAAAGAAAAAUUGAGAUCAAGGACUUUUUCAAGAGAGAUUAGACUUGGACAGGAAGAAAGACAAAACAAUUGAAGAGCUCAGGCAAUCUUUAGCAAAUGUUGAAAGGAUGAAAGAGAAGGCAAAUGUUGAAACGAUGAAAGAGAAGGCAGUUGUGAAAACAGAAAACUUGAAAACUACAUUAGACUCUGCAGAGCAAAAGGCAAGAUCAGACAAAGAGAAGACCCAGCAGAUGUUAGAUGCUGUCACUUCUGAGCCCCCAACAGCAAAGAGCGCACCUGAAGAAGUAUCAGGACAAGAACAAGAGGUUUUUUCAAAAUAGUAAAAUUAAAAUUAAUUUAGUUGAAGUGAUAAACACCCACGCCUACUUAGACUGUAACUAACUUGACAAAAGGGAAUAUUGGCUUAUGGAAUCAUGAGUUAAACAACCUAACCUCCAGGUGGGCGGAGAUACACCUGGGCCCCAGGAUCAGCACCUGGAACCUACAAGCCCUUUCUCAUGGUCACUUCUUGGCAUCUAUGUGUCAGCUCAUCUGUCUGACUGCUGGUUGGUUUUCUCCAUGACAGGAAACAUGAUCACUGGCAACCAUGGAGAUUUAUAUGGAGUUUCUGUGACAGGAGAGAGAAUCCCAAGAAAAGGUCUUAUUGACCCAGUUUAGGUCAAGUGCUUAUCCCUGCUAAACCCACAGUGGCUAGGGAUGGGAUAUAUGAUUAUUUUAUAUACUCUAACAAGUGACCAGGAGUGUAGAGUUCUAUGACAUCAUGUGUCAUCAUGUGAAGCUCAGGGGAAACCAUGUGUGUCACUUUCUGUGUCACUGUCUAGGAGAAUAUAGUAGUGCUUCUUAACUUGCUUAGAUUUUCACUAUACUUAUAAAGCAAAUAUUUCGAGAGAAUUUUUUAAAGGCCAACUGAUCAUCUGGGGCAAUUUUUAAAUUAUAUGUCACUUCUCCAUAUAUUAGUUGCUUAUGAAACUUAUACCUUAAGAUAUGCUUAAAACAUAAAGUCAUGAUAUUAGCAUUUUCACUUUUUUCUCUCUUUAACUUCUGUGUGUUCACUUUCUUGAUUGUUUCUAUUCCUCUCUUUUAUUUUUUGAGACAGAGUCUCACUCUGUUGCCCAGGCUGGAGUGCAGUAGCAUGCUCAUGGCUCACUGCAGCCUCGACCUCCUGAGCUAAAGCAGUCCUCUCACUGCAGCCUUCCGAGUAGCUGGGGCUAUAGGCGUGCCACCACCACACCUAAUUUUUGUAUGUUUUGUAGAGACAGGGUUUCACCAUGUUGCCCAGGCUGGUCUCAAACUCCUGGGCUCAAGCAAUUCUCCUGCCUUGGCUUCCCAAAGUGCUGGGAUUACAGGUGUGAGCCACCGUGUCUAGUCCCUUAUUUUAUUUUCAGUCAAAUCUGUUUUCCUUUGGUCACCUUGUAGUUCACUCUUCACUUUUUAGAUGAUUUAGUGUUUUCUUGCCUGAGUUCAACUCUCACAUCUAGAUAUCUUGGACUAUUCUGAAUUAUUACAUUUCUGAUUCAAAAUAAAGUUUUUCCCCCCAUUUUUGCAAAUCCUUUAAAAAUUGAUAUUUAAUUUUUUUCAGGGGUGUUGUGUCAAAUAUUUGUCCUGUGUUUCACGGCUGUGUUUUUUUUUUUGUUUUUUGUUUUUUUUUUUUUGAGAUGGAGUUUCGCUCUUGUCACCCAGGCUGGAGUGCAAUGGCAUGAUCUCGGCUCACUGCAACCUCCACCUACUGGGUUCAAGUAAUUCUCCUGCCUCAACCUCCUGAGUAGCUGGGAUUACAGGCAGUGCUACCAUGCCCGGCUAAUUUUUGUAUUUUUAGUAGAGAUGGGGUUUCACCAUGUUGGCCAGGCUGGUCUUGAACUCCUGACCUCAGGUGAUCCAACUUCCUUGGCCUCCCAAAGUGUUGGGAUUACACGUGUGAGCCACCAUGCCCGGCCCAUGGCUGUCUUUUGGGAGUAUUUUUUUUUUCAUCGCCUGAACAGUUUAGAUGAUAGUGUCUUUCUAUUUUCUUCUUAAAGUAAUUUUAUGUGAAUAUAAUUUGCCAUUUGUCUGUAUUCACUUUCAAAUUCCUUGAAUUGCUCUGGUCUUCAGAUGUUUCUACUUUAGGGUAGCUGGAGGCAGGGCUUACUCACUAGGUUCCUUAGCUCAAUACUACCCUCUUCUGUUGGCACAGUGAGUGCAGUUUCUAAAGUUUACUAGAUCAAGCCUUUUUGGGAGUGAGGGUUUAUAUGAUGUCUGAUUCUGUAAUACUGUCUCAUUUGUAUAAACAUAUUAAUUUCCACUGUUUGCUUUUUUCUUUUCCUUUAUUACCAAGCCUCCAAGGAACACAACUACCUCCCUCUCCCCUCAGAAACCUUGCCCUCUACAACUGCCAUUUUUGGUCUCAUGUGCUUCCAAGACCCUUGCUUUUCCUUCAUUUGUCAGUGUUCUGAUCCACCAGAUCUCAGAUUUGUUCUUGGUAUUUCACCAUUUAUGAUCUGUCUUGUUUCUGGGGGUAAGGUUGUCUGUGUUCUACACCAGUGAAAAUUAGCUGCACCUUCCUCUGU